GGUAAGGAAGGAUUACAGAGUGGAGGAUCAAGCAGGAUGGGUUCAAGAACCACAGCGAAUCCUUCCAGAAACGGCGUCGUAUCUGAAUUGGGUUGCAGUUUUAUAGUGUGUGUGUGACCAUUUAUCUUUCAUUUCGGGAGUCGUAGUUAGCUCUUAACCACCAAGCUCGGGCGGCUCAGUAUGUCACGGCACCGUCCUAAUCCCACCCUGGAUCAGCGUAACAGCGCACAUCGGAAAUGUAAGCUUCGCAAAUAAAUCCAUUUUCACAUACUCGAGUCGUAUAACAGAAAAUUUCCUGUUAAACCACAUUGUUAAAUUAAAAGUUGCAGCCCGUAUUCAAAAGCCCAUCCGCAAGCUCUGGGGUUCUGCUGAAGAGGCACUUACAGUAGUUCAGAGAACGAUGCGGUGAAGUAAAAAUGAAUCAACUUUUAGAAACCACACAAAAAGCUUCGUCUUUGAACUGUGGAAGUCAAGGCCAGAAAUCACUCACUGUAUCAUCUGAUAUUCCUCUGAUCGUUAUAUCUAUUCUCAGUGUUAAGGAAAUGAGACCAGUUGAAACGUCCACAUUAAAAUAAGAAGGAGAGCAGGUUUUCUAAUUGCAGGUCUCUGUUCUGAUCUCAUUACCAUCUCCCUCUGAUCAUCAUUCUCCUGAAAAUCUUAGUUUCAUUCAUACCCC
rnacentral:lncRNA from 1 species